rnacentral:rRNA from 1 species
UACGGGAGGGUGCAAGCGUUAUCCGGAUUUACUGGGUUUAAAGGGUGCGUAGGUGGGUAGGUAAGUCAGUGGUGAAAUCUUCAAGCUUAACUUGGAAACUGCCAUUGAUACUAUUUAUCUUGAAUACUCUGGAGGUAAGCGGAAUAUGUCAUGUAGCGGUGAAAUGCUUAGAUAUGACAUAGAACACCAAUUGCGAAGGCAGCUUACUACAUAGUUAUUGACACUGAGGCACGAAAGCGUGGGGAGCAAACAGG